AUUGAACGCUGGCGGCAAGCUUAACACAUGCAAGUCGAACGAGUGGCGGACGGGUGAGUAAUGUCUGGGAAACUGCCUGAUGGAGGGGGAUAACUACUGUAAACGGUAGCUAAUACCGCAUACCAUCGGAUGUUCCCAGAUGGGAUUAGCUAGUAGGUGGGGUAAAGGCUCACCUAGGCGACGAUCCCUAGCUGGUCUGAGAGGAUGACCAGCCACACGGGGACGGGAACACGGGCCAGACUCCUACGGGAGGCAGCAGUGGGGAAUAUGGCACAAUGGGCGAAAGCAUGAUGCAGCCAUACCGCGGGUAAGAAGAAGGCCUUCGGGUUGUAAAGUACUUUCGGCGGGGAGGCGUUACCCGCAGAAGAAGCACCGGCUAACUCCGUGCCAGCAGCAGCGGUAAUAC
rnacentral:rRNA from 1 species